ACUCGAGCGAAGCGAGAGAACGUUGCGUCAGCAACGGCCCGCAGGGCGAGCCACGAAGUGGUGAGUCAUCCUCUAUCACCGACCA
rnacentral:sRNA from 6 species